AAUAGAUAUGUAUAUUUUAUAAUAUCAAUAAUGGAGUGCAAAUAUUUGAUGUAAAUCUUAUUAGAUAUAUAGACAUUACACAUGUUAUUAGCUAACCAGUUUAUUUUAUUUGUCAUGUUAAGGUCUUAAUAUUUUAACAUGAUUAUUAAAUGAGUCAUGUUUGGGUCAAUCUAAAAUUGACAUGACAUGAAGCUAGAACGAUACGAACAUGACAUGAUAACCUAUUUUCCUAGCUCUAGAUGAAAGUUCAAGACAUAAUCAAAAAGUUAGAUCCCAUCGCCCCUAGUGUAAUACCCUGGGCCCAACAACCAAGUAGAUAUUGCUCGCUUUCGGAACAUAGUCUGUCACAGUUUUAUUAUUGGCUUUGCAAGCCAAAAUAUAUCUACUUUUUUUUUUCUUUAAAAGUUAAGGAGGGGUGGGCAAACCCAAAUACAGUUUUUACCUCCCUUACCACCCCCAAGAAUCGCCAAAAUAUAUCAACUUAGUUAAGAGAGUCUAUGAUUAAUAAACCAAUUAAAAAACUCACUUGCUAGUAAUAUAUGAUAUUACAUGCUUCCCCCCCCCCCCUAAGGAUCUCUCAUCCUUGUAAGGGUUAUUGGAAAUAGAAUAUAACGAAAUCAUAUCGUAAACGUAUUUAUCCAUUCACUUGGUCGAAAAUCUUGAUGUAGUUUUGUUAUUGGACUUUGCAAUCCAUAACUUGUCUACUUAGUUAGGAGAGUGCAUGACUUAUAAAUUUGUCUAAGAACUCACUUACUCAUUAUGUGGGAUAUUACACCUAGGAUGAAGGCCAAAUUAAGGCCUAAUCUUUAGGGUCUGCAGUCAGAAAGGAUAGUUAGAUCCCAUUUCGCUUAACACUUCACAAACACACCUACUUCCGUUUUAUCUUUUUUUUUUUUCUUCAAUCUUUAUCAUGUAAAUAAGAGAGUGAAUUUGUAAAAUUAGAAUAUACCACUUUAAUGAUCUAAUUUAGGAGAAAAACUUGUGAGAAACGGUACCGUUAGUUCAGAAUGCAAAAUGUGUCUCAUAAUAAGACUAUCAAAUUUAAUAUUAAAAUGUUAAUAAAAUUUAUUGUUCUGCCAAAUAACAACUGGUGGGACAAUCCCAUUUUUUUUGGCUUUUUCCUAAUUUAUAUAUCUACUCAUUGAUUUUAAUUUUUCGAUGUCAAAAUCCCAGUUUUUUCUCAACAACAUCGUGAAUCAAUAUCAUGAUCGAUCUUUUGUGGGUCCAGCAUAACUAUUAGCGGGCCCUUCGAAUAACAAGAAAAAGAAAAAAAUGAAACAGUUGAUUUAUUUUUUUGGUCUUAACCACAUUUCGGGAAGGGCCACAACUGUGAAAGAUACUUUUAAGAUCGUACCACAACUCAAAAUUAGAAGUUUUCACUCGAACCAGGAGAUAUAUAUUCUCCCAACAAAGGCGACUUUCCUGCGACUCGAACUGAGAAGCAAACCCAAUCAAGCCAUUUAAGAGGACUUCAUAGUGGAGCCAACACUUUGUUGAUUCUAUUGAAAUUAAUGUUUUUCUCUUCUUUUUUUCCCCUUUAAAUUUAAAAAUAAUAAUAAAUUAUAGAGAGAUAUCUUCCAGCUAAUAUGAAAUAUAAAGAUAACAAUUAAAUUGUAUUCGCAUAGUUCAUGUGACUGCUUUUAGAUUGCAGUGCAGGGGAAAGCUAGCAAAAAUGCAUUAUGCAUGUGGUCCGGCAUAAAUGAGCGUUUUGCCUCCCCCAUGGCCCCCUGCCCACUAUUUCUUUAAAAUUUAAGAACUAUUUGUGCGCCAUGUGAUCUAAAUGUGAUCUAAUCCACUUUCAUUCCGCUAAUUAAAAUUAAAACCAACUUGUCUUUUGACUUUUGUUUCCCUUUCAGUUUUCUCUUUUGGAGUGAAUGCAUGUGCUUCGUUGGGCACUAUCGAAAGGACCAAAUGACCAAACAAGCAUAAGUAAAUAUUCUAAGAGAAGAAGCAAUGAAUAGAUAGAGAGUUAGAUACCUUAAAAGUUUAGUCAUAUCAGUGAAGUUGAAAACAUAUCAAUUGGACUUUAAAUAUUGCCUUUAUAUGUUUAACAUGCGCGAUCUCAACUUGCACCGUUUUCAUAAAUUCAUUCAUUAAACUAACACACAAGAUAAUAACUACGGUACUGCACGACUAACAUUAUAUUUGUUGUCAUUUCGUAGUUCGUAUUAUAAUGUAUUUCGUAGUUCGUAUUAUAAUUUAUUUUUACAUAAAUUCAUGUUUUAGCGAUAAUUUUUAAUUGCAUUUACUAUAUUAAAAAGGUGGUCAAUAUAAUGAAAUUAGUAUAAAAAUAAACCUACCAGAGAGUAGGGUUUAGACUGUAUUGCAUUAAAAC
rnacentral:lncRNA from 1 species